UUUGACAUUAAUAAACGUCUGUUACAUUCAAGCCAUUGCCAAAUGAGUUGCUACAAAGCUAAGUAAGACUAUCAGCUCCACACAACUCUCUCUGUAUUUCUCAGUAUGGCUAUAUUCACAAGAUUGUGUCAUCCGGUGACUUUCCAGCGCAGAAACUCGAAUGAAGAUAAUUACCUCUUCUGAAGAGUCCAUCAUGUUUUUUUAAUCCUCCGUGUUCUCCAUAGCUGCUAGCAACUGCAUCGAGGAGGGGUGCGGGUGGGGGCGCGAUCACUGAAUGCUGUGUAAUGUG